UACGUAGGGUGCAAGCGUUAAUCGGAAUUACUGGGCGUAAAGCGCACGUAGUCGGCUUUGCAAGUCGGGUGUGAAAUCCCCGGGCUCAACCUGGGAACUGCAUCCGAGACUGCAUUGCUAGAGUAUGGGAGAGGGAAGCGGAAUUUCUGGUGUAGCAGUGAAAUGCGUAGAUAUCAAGUGGAACACCAGUGGCGAAGGCGAAUCCCUGGAAAAUACCUGACACUGAGGCACGAAAGCUAGGGGAGCAAACAGG
rnacentral:rRNA from 1 species